AUACCUCGUGACAGAUGAAGGCCAACAAGGGACUACAGCUCCUUCUAGAAGCCCUGCUGUUUCUCUACACACUUGGGCCUUAUCUGAUACCUAUUGCUUCUAGAUGUGACACAGACCAGGAAGAAACAGGCCCCCGCCAGCAUCGACAGGAACAGAAAGAGUCCCACAGCAAUCAUGAUGAUUUGCUGGAGUUUUGUGGCGGCUGAAAAGAUGAUGCGGAAGUAAACAAGAGGCCCGUCCCACCCGUGGUACAAACGUCGGUAAUUUCUCACCUGCCAACCGCUUAGAGAGAGGUCGUUUCCUGGUAAAACCGGGCGACGCUGCCCCUCCCCCGCCCAGCCUCACAUGCUUAGAUGACUAGCCAGGAAAGGCAAUCCUAAAAUAAAGCAGCGUUAGCUGUCUGGUGCUGUUAUUACGGUAGAUCUCAGCAUGAA